rnacentral:rRNA from 1 species
UGGGGGAUAUUGCACAAUGGGGGGAACCCGUGAUGCAGCGACGCCGCGUGGGUGAAGAAGCGCCUCGGCGCGUAAAGCCCUGUCAGCAGGGAAGAAAAUGACGGUACCUGACUAAGAAGCCCCGGCUAACUACGUGCC